GAUUAACGCUAGCGGCAGGCCUAAUACAUGCAAGUCGAGGGGCAGCAGGGUGUAGCAAUACAUCGCUGGCGACCGGCGCACGGGUGCGUAACACGUAUGCAACCUACCUUUAACUGGGGAAUAGCCCUCCGAAAGGAGGAUUAACACCGCAUAACAUCACGAGACGGCAUCGCCUUGUGAUCAAACCUCCGGGGGUUAAAGAUGGGCAUGCGUCCGAUUAGCUAGUUGGCGGGGUAACGGCCCACCAAGGCGACGAUCGGUAGGGGGUCUGAGAGGAUGAUCCCCCACACUGGUACUGAGACACGGACCAGACUCCUAUGGGAGGCAGCAGUAAGGAAUAUUGGACAAUGGUCGCAAGACUGAUCCAGCCAUGCCGCGUGCAGGAUGAACGAUCUAUGAUCUGUAAACUGCUUUUUGUUCGGGAAUAAACCCCUUCACGUGUGGAGGGCUGAAUGUACCGAAAGAAUAAGGGUCGGCUAACUUCGUGCCAGCAGCCG
rnacentral:rRNA from 1 species